rnacentral:rRNA from 1 species
AAUCAACGCUGGCGGCGUGCCUCAGACAUGCAAGUCGAACGAUGAAGCCUAGCUUGCUAGGCGGAUUAGUGGCGCACGGGUGAGUAACACGUAGGUAAUGUACCUUUGAGUGGGGAAUAACUUAGGGAAACUUAAGCUAAUACCGCAUAAUGCAGCGGCUCGACAUCGAGACAGUUGUUAAAGGAGCAAUUCGCUUAAAGAGCAGCCUGCGGCAGAUUAGCUAGUUGGUAAGGUAAUGGCUUACCAAGGCUACGAUCUGUAACCGACCUGAGAGGGUGGUCGGUCACACUGACACUGAAUAACGGGUCAGACUCCUACGGGAGGCAGCAGUCGGGAAUUUUGGACAAUGGGCGAAAGCCUGACCCAGCAACGCCGCGUGAAGGAUGAAGUAUUUCGGUAUGUAAACUUCGUAAGAAUAGGAAGAAUAAAUGACGGUACUAUUUGUAAGGUCCGGCUAACUACGUGCCAGCCGCCGCAGUAAUAC